AAUGAACGCUGGCGGCAUGCCUAACACAUGCAAGUCGAACGGUAACAGGCCCUUCGGGGUGCUGACGAGUGGCGCACGGGUGAGUAUCACAUAGGAAUCUGCCUUACACUGGGGGAUAACAUUCAGAAAUGAAUGCUAAUACCGCAUACGCCUUACGAGGGAAAGCUCCGGCGGUGUAAGAUGAGCCUAUGCUAGAUUAGCUUGUUGGUGAGGUAACGGCUCACCAAGGCUACGAUCUAUAGCGGGUCUGAGAGGAUGAUCCGCCACACUGGUACUGAGACACGGACCAGACUCCUACGGGAGGCAGCAGUGGGGAAUAUUGCGCAAUGGGGGCAACCCUGACGCAGCAAUGCCGCGUGAGUGAUGAAGGUUUUAGGAUUGUAAAGCUCUUUUAGCAGGGAAGAUUAUGACGGUACCUGCAGAAAAAGUCCCGGCUAACUCCG
rnacentral:rRNA from 1 species